rnacentral:miRNA from 1 species
AAGCCACUGACUAACGCACAUU